CACAUGGACAAUGGCACAAAUUUGAAAAGAAAAAGAAAUAUUGAGGCUGAGAGCAUUCCUCCAGCCAGUGGCAUCACAAGUAAGGUCUGAGAACGAGCUGGAUCGAAGGGAUGGUGCUGUCCUUCACCGAGCUGCCCUAGCCUAGGAUCGUGCUGCAGGCUUUCAAAGACGACGGUUGCUGCCAGCCCCGCUCCCUGCAGCCCUGCCCGGGAGACCUGCUGCCCAGCCAUGAAGAGCUCGGAGCUUUGCUAAUGCAUCUGCUGCUUCUUGAGGAGUCUGACCUCAAGC